UGAGGAAUAUUGGUCAAUGGGCGAGAGCCUGAACCAGCCAAAUCGCGUGAAGGAAGACUGCCUUAUGGGUUGUAAACUUCUUUUGUACAGGAAUAAAAAGGGGGACGCGUCCUCCAUUGCAUGUACUGUACGAAUAAGCAUCGGCUAACUCCGUGCCAGCAGCCGCGGUAAUACGGAGGAUGCGAGCGUUAUCCGGAUUUAUUGGGUUUAAAGGGUGCGCAGGCGGGCUUUUAAGUCAGCGGUGAAAUCUCGACGCUUAACGUCGAAACUGCCGUUGAAACUGGGAGUCUUGAGUAUAGAUGAAGUAGGCGGAAUUCGUUGUGUAGCGGUGACAUGCUUAGAUAUAACGAGGAACUCCGAUUGCGUAGGCAGCUUACUAAGCUAUAACUGACGCUCAAGCACGAAAGCGUGGGGAUCAAACAGGAUUAGGUACCCUGGUAGUCCACGCCGUAAACGAUGAUUACUAGUUGUAUGCGAUAUACCGUAUGUGACUAAGCGAAAGCGAUAAGUAAUCCACCUGGGGAGUACGCCGGCAACGGUGAAACUCAAAGGAAUUGAC
rnacentral:rRNA from 1 species